CAGGGAAUCUUGGGCAAUGGGCGAAAGCCUGACCCAGCGACGUCGCGUGGGGGACGAAGGCCUUAGGGUUGUAAACCCCUUUUCCGAGGGAAGAGAAAGGACGGUACCUCGGGAAUAAGCCCCGGCUAACUACGUGCCAGCAGCCGCGGUAAUACGUAGGGGGCAAGCGUUACCCGGAAUCACUGGGCGUAAAGUGCGCGUAGGCGGUUGGAUAAGUCUCUUGUGAAAGCUCCCGGCUCAACUGGGAGAGGUCAAGGGAUACUAUUUGACUAGAGGACAGCAGAGGUAAGCAGAAUUCCCGGUGUAGCGGUGGAAUGCGUAGAUAUCGGGAGGAACACCAGUGGCGAAGGCGGCUUACUGGGCUGUAGCUGACGCUGAGGCGCGAGAGCGUGGGGAGCAAACUGGAUUAGAUACCCCCGUAGUCC
rnacentral:rRNA from 1 species